CUCUGCUCGGGUAGUUUCUUCUGCAUUUCAGGUGGGAUCUGCUCAGGCAGUGAAGUAUGGAGCUCAGCUGGAGGGUCCUCCACAGAAACUCGUCUCGCCACAAGAGAUGAAGGAUCAGCAGCAAGGCUAUAUAUUCCCUGAAACAUAAGAAGAGGAACAGCACGAUUAAACUUGGACAUGCUUGUCAGGCAAUAAAAACAUACACAUUCCUAUUUCCCACCUCAUAUGGGGACUCUGUCCACCCAAAGCCCUGAUGGUUCUCCUGCAGCUCCAGAGGUAAGGGCGGUCGGACUGGUGGCUCGUGGUCCAUGUCCUGCAGGAGUUAACAGUUAUAAACAACCUAUUUGAACAUCAUCUCAUCAAUGAGUGAUCUGUCAUGUUAAAUCCAGAGGAAACAUUUUACAGCCACCUAAUUAAGACAGCUCACCAGUGAGCUAUGUGGCCUUUCCAUGGGAGAUCCAGGAGAUCCAGGAUGUGGAGCCAAAGAUUGGAAUGCUGAAAGGAGAACAUAAAUGUUCUGACUCUUUUCUUUUGUAGUUGUUCAUGAUCCAAGAAAUCAGGAGCACUUUUUAAAAGUGUUUCAGUUAAAAUGACCUAGAAUUGUAGGCAAGACAACAGACAAACAACUAACACAACAAGUUUUACAUGCACAAUAGUGCUACUUUAUAAAAACGAAACAAGCAUCACAUUCUAAAGGGGAACAUAUUUAGUGUGGCCUUAGGAUGAGAUAAACGAGAAGGAGACUAGCAAGAUUAUCGUGUGAGGCGAGAUGUAUGCUGUGCUGCUCACUGUGAUGUCUCUGUACUCUCAGCAGGAAACAAAUGUGAUCUCUGUUGACUCUUAAUCCAUCAAGGAUGUCCUCCAUCAUCCACAGUUCCCUCUGAGCCUGAGAUUGCUCCUAAACAGAGAAGAUAAAUCUGUGACAAAUCCUUUGACACAGAUGUGCUGCAGGUGUGAACGGAUAACAGACAGUUCACUUUCCAUUCUCUCAUACUGACUCCACACCCUCUCCAUUUCCUGAAUGUAAAAGUAAAAAGUGACACAUCACACAUUCUCGCCCGGAUCGUGACCAGCUCAUCCUGUAGCAAAGCUUUCUGGGUCAGAACUUCUUCAAGUGCCCGUGGCCCCUGGUUCUUCCAGUCUUCCACCUGAAG